CACGUAGGGGGCGAGGGUUGUCCGGAUUUAUUGGGCGUAAAGAGCUCGUAGGCGGCUCGGUAAGUCGGGUGUGAAAACUCUAGGCUCAACCUAGAGACGCCACCCGAUACUGCUGUGGCUAGAGUCCGGUAGGGGAGCAUGGAAUUCCUGGUGUAGCGGUGAAAUGCGCAGAUAUCAGGAGGAACACCAGUGGCGAAGGCGGUGCUCUGGGCCGGUACUGACGCUGAGGAGCGAAAGCGUGGGGAGCAAACAGG
rnacentral:rRNA from 1 species